GAUGAAGAACGUAGCAAAAUGCGAUAAGUAAUGUGAAUUGCAGAAUUCAGUGAAUCAUCGAAUCUUUGAACGCACAUUGCGCCCGCUGGUAUUCCGGCGGGCAUGCCUGUUCGAGCGUCAUUUCAACCCUCAAGCCCCCGGGUUUGGUGUUGGGGAUCGGCUCUGCCCUUCUGGGCGGUGCCGCCCCCGAAAUACAUUGGCGGUCUCGCUGCAGCCUCCAUUGCGUAGUAACUAACACCUCGCAUCUGGAACGCGGCGCGGCCAUGCCGUAAAACCCCAACUUCUGAAUGUUGACCUCGGAUCAGGUAGGAAUACCCGCUGAACUUAAGCAUAUCAAUAAGCGGAGGA
rnacentral:misc_RNA from 1 species